rnacentral:rRNA from 1 species
GACGGAAGGUGCAAGCGUUGCUCGGAAUCACUGGGCGUAAAGAGCUCGUAGGCGGUUUGUCGCGUCGUCCGUGAAAACUUGGGGCUCAACCCCAAGCUUGCGGGCGAUACGGGCAGACUUGAGUACUGCAGGGGAGACUGGAAUUCCUGGUGUAGCGGUGAAAUGCGCAGAUAUCAGGAGGAACACCGGUGGCGAAGGCGGGUCUCUGGGCAGUAACUGACGCUGAGGAGCGAAAGCGUGGGGAGCGAACAGG